rnacentral:rRNA from 1 species
GGUGGUUUGUUAAGUUGAAUGUGAAAUCCCCGGGCUCAACCUGGGAACUGCAUCCAAAACUGGCAAGCUAGAGUAUGGUAGAGGGUGGUGGAAUUUCCUGUGUAGCGGUGAAAUGCGUAGAUAUAGGAAGGAACACCAGUGGCGAAGGCG